rnacentral:rRNA from 1 species
GAUGAACGCUGGCGGCGUGCCUAAUACAUGCAAGUCGAGCGAACAGACGAGGAGCUUGCUCCUCUGACGUUAGCGGCGGACGGGUGAGUAACACGUGGAUAACCUACCUAUAAGACUGGGAUAACUUCGGGAAACCGGAGCCAAUACCGGAUAAUAUAUUGAGCCGCAUGGUUCAAUAGUGAAAGACGGUUUUGCUGUCACUUAUAGAUGGAUCCGCGCCGCAUUAGCUAGUUGGUAAGGUAACGGCUUACCAAGGCAACGAUGCGUAGCCGACCUGAGAGGGUGAUCGGCCACACUGGAACUGAGACACGGUCCAGACUCCUACGGGAGGCAGCAGUAGGGAAUCUUCCGCAAUGGGCGAAAGCCUGACGGAGCAACGCCGCGUGAGUGAUGAAGGUCUUCGGAUCGUAAAACUCUGUUAUUAGGGAAGAACAAAUGUGUAAGUAACUAUGCACGUCUUGACGGUACCUAAUCAGAAAGCCACGGCUAACUACGUG